GAAAAGAAACCAACAGGGAUUACCUCAGUAACGGCGAGUGAAGCGGUAAUAGCUCAGAUUUAAAAUCAAGCUUUGAUUAGCUUCAAACUUGAGUUGUAAUUUGUAGAGAACACUAUCGGGGUAUGCUGAACUUAAGUGACUUGGAACAGUCUACCAUAGAGGGUGAGAGUCCCGUCUGGUUCAGUUCAUUAACCAUAUAUAUGUUCUUCAACGAGUCGAGUUGUUUGGAAAUGCAGCUCUAAAUGGGUGGUAAAUUUCAUCUAAGGCUAAAUAUGGACUGGAGACCGAUAGCGAACAAGUAGAGUGAUCGAAAGAUGAAAAGUACUUUGAAAAGAGAGUUAAACAGUACGUGAAAUUGUUGAAAGGGAAGCGUAUACCAUCAGACUUGAGAUGAUUGUUCCCCCUUUUUUUGAAAGGGUCACUCAAUCCCCUCAGGCCAACAUCAGUUUGGAGAGGUGGUCAAAGCCAAGAAAAUGUAUCUCCUUUCGAGUUGACUUAUAGUUCUUGGUCAUACACCUCCUCCGGACUGAGGCAUGCGAUCUAAUCUCGGAUGUUGGCAUAAUGAUUGUAUAUGACCCGUCU
rnacentral:rRNA from 1 species